rnacentral:rRNA from 1 species
CCUACGGGAGGCAGCAGUGGGGAAUUUUGGACAAUGGGGGGAACCCUGAUCCAGCCAUUCCGCGUGUGCGAUGAAGGCCUUCGGGUUGUAAAGCACUUUUGGCAGGAAAGAAAUCGCACGGAUUAAUACUUUGUGUGGAUGACGGUACCUGCAGAAUAAGCACCGGCUAACUACGUGCCAGCAGCCGCGGUAAUACGUAGGGUGCAAGCGUUAAUCGGAAUUACUGGGCGUAAAGCGUGCGCAGGCGGUUCGGAAAGAGAGGUGUGAAAUCCCAGGGCUUAACCUUGGAACUGCACUUUUAACUCCCGAGCUAGAGUAUGUCAGAGGGGGUGGAAUUCCGCGUGUAGCAGUGAAAUGCGUAGAUAUGCGGAGGAACACCGAUGGCGAAGGCAGCCCCCUGGGAUGAUACUGACGCUCAUGCACGAAAGCGUGGGGAGCAAACAGGAUUAGAUACCCUGGUAGUCCACGCCCUAAACGAUGUCAACUAGCUGUUGGGGGCUUCGGGCCCUUAGUAGCGCAGCUACGCGUGAGUAGACCGCCGUGGGAGGUACGGUCGCGAGAGUAAACUACAAGAAGUUAGACGCGUGAGACGUGACGACGGACGACGACGAGGGAGGAGG